rnacentral:rRNA from 1 species
AGAGUUUGAUCCUGGCUCAGGAUGAACGCUAGCGGCAGGCUUAACACAUGCAAGUCGAGGGGCAGCGGGGUGUAGCAAUACACUGCCGGCGACCGGCGCACGGGUGCGUAACGCGUAUGCAACCUACCCAUAACAGGGGCUAUAACACGUGAGAAAUUGGUACUAAUUCCCCAUAACAUUCGAAGAGGCAUCUCUUUGGGUUGAAAACUCCGGUGGUUAUGGAUUGGGC